GUGGGCAUUGCCCUCGGAGUCUCAGACAUCAGAAUAAGCUUCUGUGAGUGGAUCCUUCUUUCCAUGUUGGAUUCUGGGAAUCAGAACUCAUGCUGUCAGCCUUGUGUAGAGAGCACUUCUUCCUGCCCAACGAGUGGGCCCCCUCUUCCCCCCUAAGAUUUAAAACUGUCUUUUCACCUUUACACAUCUCCUUUCUUUCCUCUUGCCUUGCUGUGUCAUAAGAACUUACUGCUUCUGAAGAACGAAUCAGGGAAACUUCUAGAACAAAGGUCAGUACCCUGAGCUCCUUACUGAGCUGCAGCGUCCUGUCCAAGAUGGCAGUCUUGGCGGUCAUGGAGAAGUCUUUUUUUUUUUUUUUUUGGUUCUUUUUUUCGGAGCUGGGGACCGAACCCAGGGCCUUGCGCUUCCUAGGCAAGCGCUCUACCACUGAGCUAAAUCCCCAAGCCCCCCGAGAAGUCUUGAUGGAGAAGGUAAUGGACCAAGCUCAUGAUUAGACUGGGCUCCACCAUUGAAAAUAAGUACGACGCUGCUCCAGCUCCCCUGUCACGGUCAGUUUACAGGUUAGGAUGCAGGUGUGAGGACAGGAGUUUCAGAGGUAAACCACCCAUUCCUCCCUGUGUCUCAGCAAUGGCGUAGAUGGUGCAUUAGUGGUUUCCUUGUAACCGUUAAGAGGCUGGAUUUCUCCCACAAAAUUACUCAGAGUUGUCUUCUUUCUGUUUUCUGUGUUUGUUUUGUGGUUUUGUUUUUCUUUUUUCUCUUUCUUUUCAGUUCGUGUCAGCAAUAUUAUCAGGGAAGGAUAGUUGCUUUAAGGAAAAAGUAUCUACAGUAAUCCCUAAUGCCGGGGGAGUUGGGAAAAAAAUGACUGAAAAAAAGGGGGGGGUUUCUCUUGCUCAGAAAAGUGAAUUCCCACACUCACCUGUGUAUGUGGCACGGGCGUCCCCUUGCUUUUGGGGGUACACAGGGUAAGCACAAGCAUGGAACCUCCACCAGGACAAUCAGCUGACUUUAAUCUGGUGAACGUGUGCAGCGUUGGCUCGUUUCAACGUCAGGGCAUCGAACCCUUUCCCGAGCCAUUGGAAAUUAUUGUCAGUCCUCUUGGUGGCCUGCCACUGUGGCUGCAACACAUUCUUCAGGCGCCAUAACCGAGCUCCAUCUGAGGGGAAGUGUCCCACUUUCCUUGGCAGAAGAGGAGUCAAGAGUCUCUGCAUACGGACACGGUCACUGGCAGCCCUGGAGGACCUGAGGAAAGGGUUCUACCGGGGCUGGGGUACCGGGCUUGCUGCAGCCUGUCGGGACGUCCUGUCCCGUGGCAUUGCUCUCCCACCCCCUCGCUGCUGGCAUGAGACUGGGGAAGCUACGUCUAGAAUUAGGGCUGUUUUCGUCUGAGACCAUACAUCUCAUUUGUAAUCACGGGUUUCGGGAAAUAGCAGCCUGGGAAGUGAGCGGGAAACUGGACAAAGUGGAGAAGGGCAGAAGAGGCCCAAGGCCCUGAGAUGGUAGCUUCAUUAUUUAUUGAAUAUGUGUUAUCACUUCCUUUGCUCUAAUUAAAAAUCAUUGUCAUCAUCAUUACAUCAUCAUCGUCGUCGUCAUCAUCUGUAAGUGGGGUGGGUGUGGGUGUGGGUGAGUGUGGUGGGUGUGGUGGGUGUGGGUGUGGGUGGGGGUUGGGGUGAGGGGUGAAGAGACAUGUUCACAGAAGGCAAAGGAUAACUGUGGGGUCUCUCCUUCCAUCGUCACAAGGGCUCAGACGCUGGACUGCAAGCAUUUCUGCCUGUAAGCCAUCCUGCUGGCCCACAUUAGCCUCUUUCAUUGCUCCAGAUUGUCUGCUCCCAGCUGCUCCUAGUACCUGUUGACUGGAGCAAACCCCCUGCUUGAGUCUGUUCUGUGAGUCCUGGGGUUCAGUGCCUCAGGGCACUGCCUGACUGAGAGAGGGUCACAGCACCCCACCCCAUCCUCAGCUUGUUACAGAAGAGCACAGACAUUGGGUGACUGUUUGCUUCCUGUCCAUCAUUCAUUUCCCCCUGUGGUCUGUUUCCCGUGGUGGUAUACCUUUCCUCUUCCCGUCUGCCUAGAGUCAGUGCCCCACUACACACACACAGGAGACACGGAUGGGCACUUACAACUGUUCUGAGCUGAAGGAAAGACUGUUCUUUUGGAGGUGGGGUAGGGAUAGGGGCUGAACGCCCUCGACCCCCUGUAACGCGUGUCCUGUCACAUUUGGAGUCUGCGGUGCUGGGAUCUGAGCCCUGGGCUCCUCCAUGAAUUCCUGACUCAGUCGGUGAAUAGACUGUCAGCGGGCUAGCCAGUGCCUGCUGGAGGGCUGGAGCGAGGAGGUUUCGCCGCUGUGGGGAAGGGACCAGGUAACUCCACCUAUCAGAGACCCCUCAUAAUUCGAUAUGUCUAUUUCUCUGCACGAUUGAGCCUGGCUCUGGGAUCCCAGCUCCCUGGCAGUUGUACCAGGUGACUGUUACUCCCACGUGUGGCUCCAAACUGUUCUGUCUUUGUACUCGCCCCUUCCUUGGCUUUUCUUGAGGGCAAGGAAGAGUAGAGCAGGAGAAAGAGAAGGACGGGAAAACCCUGAGGUGUCCCGCUGCCCUUUUGACAGCUUCUUUAUCUCCGGAUAAGAGUAACGGCAGUUCUGAUGGUACAGAUCAUGGUGGGCCACCCCAUUGUCGGGCACUCACAGAGACUCAGGUGGCCCUCUGCAGCCUGAAGGGGAGGCCUGGCUGUCUCUAUUUUAGUGGAAGGGCACAUCUGGGCUUUGGGAGGCCAUUCAACUAGUGGGUGAGUAGGGUGUCUCCCACUGAGAAGUGUCUGCCAGUGCUCUAGCUCCUUCCCUACUUUGAGAUGGCCUCUCUUACUUUAAGCUCUUACUUGAUCCCAGGCCAAGUGGGCUCUGUCAGUUAGCUAAGGGAGGUGGCUCUCCCAGGGAAGGUUCAGGUUUGCUCAGCUUGUCCCAGGAGGCUCCUGCUCUUGCCUUAGUAUUGUAACAGUUUCAAUCCCCUCAGGGCUUCACUGCAGUUGCUCUCAGUGUGGCAGGGUGUCUUCUUUCCGUGUGGUUUAGGAUUAGCAUAGCAAAUGCCAGCAAUUAUAAAACCCAGGGCUCUCAACCCCUGGAGCUAUUGCUGGGCUCACACAAAACGCCCCCGCCAAGGUGCUUGUUUCAGGCAACCACCCUGAGAAGCUUUCUGUGGCUUUCAUAAAAGUCACUCCAUGCCACUCGAGAGCUGGUUACACCUGCCUUAGCUGUGUAGGGGGAGCUGGCCAAUUAAGAGCUUCCCACUCACAGUGAAGAACCUCACUUGAUCUCUCAUCUGCUGGGUAGCCCCACCUGCUGCCUGGGUGUCUUUUCCCUCCAUAUUCACACGUCUACCGGCAUUUGAUCUUCCCUUUUAUUUCUGUGAUAUUAACAUAGGAACAACGGCUUCCUUUUCCUCCUUUACCCCUUGAAAGUCAGCCCCAGCCACACUUAGAGAAGCAGGAAAGGGUAUGCGUCUUGCCCAGACCCAUCUCGAAGGAACAGGUAUGCCACUUCAAGGUUGGAUGUUUGGAAAACACAGGGCAGAACACCGAGGAACUAGCUGCGUUUCUUCCCUGCGGGAGGCAUGCUUGUUCUGCUGUUCGUCAUGGUUGUCUCCCCAAUAUGAGUCCUACGUAUACACAGAAGGAAAAAGCCCUCAACCCUGAGGGCUAUUUGCAUUUGUAGUGUCUUAUAUGCAGCCUACAUAGAGUUUUCACUAAGCAAGUGUAGAAGUCAGUGCCUCACACACAGAUGAAGAAACUGAUGAAAGUUUGUUCCUUUCUUUAAAAAGAAAAAGAAGGAAGGAAGGAGGGUAGGAAGGAAGGAAGGAAAGAAGGGAGGAAGGAAAGAAAACUUAUUGCAUGUGUCUGUUUCUGUGCUGGAGAUCAAACUCGGGGACUCCUAAAUGAUAGACAUGCUCCUUACCAGUAAACUAUCUUCUCAUCCUUUCUUCUUAGAAGAGUUCACAGAUAGAUGAUAGAUAGAUAGAUAGAUAGAUAGAUAGAUAGAUAGAUAGAUAGAU